GAUGAACGCUGGCGGCGUGCCUAAUACAUGCAAGUCGAGCGAACAGAUAAGGAGCUUGCUCCUUUGACGUUAGCGGCGGACGGGUGAGUAACACGUGGGUAACCUACCUAUAAGACUGGGAUAACUUCGGGAAACCGGAGCUAAUACCGGAUAAUAUUUCGAACCGCAUGGUUCGAUAGUGAAAGAUGGUUUUGCUAUCACUUAUAGAUGGACCCGCGCCGUAUUAGCUAGUUGGUAAGGUAACGGCUUACCAAGGCGACGAUACGUAGCCGACCUGAGAGGGGGCGCGGCAACACGGGAACGGAGACACGGCCCAGCCUCAAGGGGGGGGAGCAGGGGGGGAUUCUUCAGAAAGGGGGGAAGGCCAGAGGGAGCAACGCGGGGGGAGGAAGGAAGUUUUUAGGAUAUAAAACCUUUUUUAUAGGGAAAAAAAAAAGUUGAAAGAAACUGUGCGCGCCUGGAGGGAACCAAAUCAGAAGACCAGGACAACCAAGGUG
rnacentral:rRNA from 1 species